rnacentral:lncRNA from 1 species
AUGAGGAUGAACCACUGGAGGGAAAGCAUGGCCUUUUUCCCCAAGUCCCACCUUUUCAGGGGAAGUUUUUGGGGGGCCAUCUGGAAUUUUAGGCAUGUAAGGAGCUGCCGUGUCUCAGUCAGAGCCAGACUGAGCAUUUCCUUAGUGACUGGACCUAACCCAGCACCACUUCUGCAUUCUGAGCAGGGUUUUUGGGGGCUGUUUGGGGGGGCUCAGCAGCACUCCCUGGGUGCCCCGAGGGGGCUGUGGGGCAGCCCUGCCCCGAGUGAUGCUGGUGGCAGCCGCAGGCAGGGGCUGGUGGCCGGGUGACAAACCUGGGAGCACGGGGUGCCACGGUGUGCGGGGACAGCCCGGCACCCUCGGCUGAUCCAGCAGUGCUGGGCUUCUCUGAAGUGCAGAAUCCCUCCCAGCCUUGGGGAGCUGAGCUCUGACCUGCUCCUCUGAGCACCUGCAUCAGUCCUUGCUGAUUUUAGCAGGAGCUGGGACUGGGAGGAAGAAGGCACGAGCUGUCCGUGCUGGCUGCUGCUGAGGGGAGGGCAGUAAGCUGGUGGGGAGGUUUGCACCUGUGUCUCGUGUUUCUUAACUAUUUGGAAGCAAAAAAGAUCCUGGCAGAACGGGACUGCCUCAAAGUGGUGCUGGUUAAAGGAUGAGCAGGUUAUAGUUAAUGCUGGUGUGGAGGCACAGCUAUCGCUCCCCUCCUGCUACCACGUAGAGGUUUCUUCACAGUCAUCUCAAAAUAGGUGGGUAUUUCUUGCCUUGAGGCAUGUGUCCUUCCUUAGAGAUCCUGUGCCUGCAUCCCCAUCUGUGGGGAGGGCUGAAAGCUGCUGAAGAUACGUGGUGAUCUGCUGCAAUGUGGUGAAGUGUUAAAAACUAUAAAUAUAUAUAUUUUUUAGGGGUUUUUUAAAUUUCUACCACUGAGAGUUGAGUGUCCCUGCAGCUGCUUAUUUGUGGCGCUCUGUUUCCAGUCUUUUCUGCUGUUGUGGAUGUAUGCAAGAACAUUCAAGGAGGUUUUAUCUCGCCUUGCCCCCCAAAAAAUUAAAAUUUGCCCAAAUCUGAGUGUGGUGCUGGGGAAGAAGGAGGCAAAAGGCUUUUCUUUGAGAGAGAGGGUGCUCGGAAAGAAGCAAGCUUGAAGCUAAACCUGGGAGGUGGAUGGCUUGCAAACAGGCUAUAAAUAACCGUGAGUAGAUUGAGGAGAGCAGCCCACAUCUCCUCUGGCAUGGGCAUGCUGUGCCCAUUUUCUUUGUUGAUAGCAAUUGCUAAUGUGAAUUCUGGCACUCCAAAUCCCGAUGCCUGUUGUUCUGAUAACAUA